rnacentral:lncRNA from 1 species
GGACAACUGCCUAUGACCAGUAACACAGGCAGGUGUGCACACUGGAGGCCCAAGCCGGUGGGACUUGCCUGGCGAGCAGCAGCAGAGGUGCGGUCUGUAGUCUGCUCCUGAGCACUGCGGCUGCUGCAGCUAUCCUAAGGGCAUGCGAAAGAGCCUAGCCUCCCCUGUUGGUGGGGCUACUGUAGCUGGCUCUAGGGUGCUCUGGGAUCCAAGAUCCAUUGGGCUUCACAUGGGCUUGAGUGGUGCCUCCGCACAGAUUCCAGGCAGCUCUCUGUGUCUGUCUGGAGACCCUGGAGAGUCAGAGGGGCUCUUCCAUGGCCAGGACUACAAAGGCCUGUGGUGGAAUUGUGGAUCCCCCAGGAGCUCUUAUUCAAUCACCCUUUCCCCCACGACACGGCAAUUCCUCUGGCUCUGCACCAAUCCCAGCUCUCUGCUUUAUCUUCUGAAACUAAAGAAGCCAAAAUAGGGAAAAUCAACAGUGAGCGCCUAGCACAAUCUGAGCUGCGGAUCCCACAGAGUGGAAGACUGAAGAACAGAGAGAAAUGGAAGGCCCCAGAUCUCUGGAGUCCUGGCUCCCUGCAAGUCCAUCUAGUAGGAUUGCUAUAAAUUGUCUAAAGAGUUAAAAUAAACAAAUUUUUG